UCAGUCGCAAGUUGGUCGAGAUAGAGGUAAAUGGCUGAAAAAGAAGUGAGGUAGUUCUAGUUCCUUCUCUAAUGCUAGUGCUCCUUACCCGAAGUAGUCGGGUGAUAGGCAUCAUCAAGGUGGUGACAAUUUUAGAGCAUAGGGUACCCAAUCUUAGGGGAGUAGGGGUCAGUCAAUUUUCUCAUGCCCUCUUUGUUGGUUCUAUAGUCAUCCUCAUCGGGG
rnacentral:lncRNA from 1 species